rnacentral:misc_RNA from 1 species
GAUCCACCAGCAGCUGCCAAGGCUGAUGCCGGUAUUGUUCCUGUCCCAGUUGCAGCAAUGAUCGAUGGUUCAGCUUGUUGUAACAACCACUGUAUUGUUUCCCCAUCAGAUUUGUGACCCAGUUCUCUGGUCAAUUGAAAGAUUCUUGCUGCACAAAGAGCUGGCAUCCUUAUCCUCCUUCCUCUACCUUCAACCUUGGUGUGUCUGUCCUUGUUUGAGCCUCUUUUUGGUGCUAACUGCUUCUUUUGCUCUUCUUUGUCUGCAAUUACAAUCUGGAAAUCUUUAAUUUCUGCUGGUUUGUUCUCUCCCAUGCUUGCCUGC